rnacentral:misc_RNA from 1 species
GAUGAAGAACGCAGCGAAAUGCGAUACUUGGUGUGAAUUGCAGAAUCCCGUGAACCAUCGAGUCUUUGAACGCAAGUUGCGCCCGAAGCCAUCAGGUUGAGGGCACGUCUGCCUGGGCGUCACAUAUCGUUGCCCAAUGCCUAUUGCAGUGCAAUAGGAAUUUCUAGGGCGAAUGAUGGCUUCCCGUGAGCGUUGUUGCCUCGCGGUUCGUUGAAAAUCGAGUCCUUGGUAGGGUGUGCCAUGGUAGAUGGUGGUCGAGUUAGAACGAUACCGAUCAUGUGCAUGCUCCCCAAAAUAUGGCCUCUAUGACCCACACGCGUCUUUUGACGCUCAUGACGAGACCUCAGGUCAGGCGGGGCUACCCGCUGAAUUUAAGCAUAUCAAUAAGCGGAGGA